CCUGGGGUUCCCACAACCAGUAUAUUUGCCCCCACAGUGAGCCAUAGCCAACUCCUUCCUCCUGAGGAGAUCCUCCAAGAUCCAAAGAUCAAUCUGGCCCAGGUUCCCAUGGAGUCACUGCUUUUCCCUGGGCCCCAGUGCACAUGAAAACUUGUGUGAAUCCUCCAAGAGUGAAGUCUCUGUUUCUCCCAGUCCUGUGGCACUACUGCACACAAGCACCAUUGGCCUUCUAAACCAAAUGCUCUGGGGGCUCCUCCUUUCAAUGCCAGACUCCUAGAUUGGUGAAACUGACGUGGGGCUCAGAACUUAUACCUGUGGGAGAAUCUCUGUGAUACAAUUUUUUCUAGCUUGUGGGUUGUCCACCCCGUGGGUAUAGGCUUUGAUUAUAUCAUGAAAGCAUCCCUCCUACUGUCUCAUUGUGGCUUCUUCUUUGUCUUUGGAUAUAGAAAGUCUUUUUUGGUAGGUUCCAGUCUUUUUUGUCAACAGCUCUUCAGCAGUUAGUUGUAAUUUUUGAUACUUUUGUGAGAGGAAGUAAGCUUAAGUCCUUCUACCCUGCCAUAUUUUCUUUUCCCCUCCUGGCUUCCAAUCUUGAACCUCUUUACAUAUAUCCUUCAUCCAGUAGUCAAAAUAAUAUUUCUAAAACCUAUACUGGGUCAUGUCCCUCUGGCUUUGGCCUUCAGUGGCUUUCCUUGGACUUAGAAUGGAAUCCAGACUCCUGCCACUUGCCCCUUUGCUCACUUGUUCAGCCACAUUGUUUUUCUGUCAGGUCUUUGAGUACCAUGCACAUAGAUCCUUUACCUGAAAUGCUUUUUACUCCUACUCCCUUUCAGUAAGUCUUUCCAUAUUUUUCCCCAUUACAAUAUCUAUUACAGAUUGGAAACAUAUUUGUGUGUUUGGUACUUUCUCCCUGCUAGUCUUCUCCUGAAUUUAUCUAUUUUAAACUUUGUAAGGGGCUGAGAUUACAGUUGUUUACCUAGAACCUAGUCCAACACUUGUCACACAGAGACUGUAGGCAAAUAUUUAUUGAAUAAAUUUUAAUUAAAGGAAACGCACCAGUGAGUGAGAUCCAAACUUUCAAGAAAUCAACCCAUUAUAAAGAGUAAGUUACUUAAAUUACAUUGCUUUGUACAGAUAUUAUUCUCUAGUUCUUUUGUGCUUAAGGUUGUAGGCCCAGAGAGUAGAAUAUUUACUGGAAUAUUUACUGAAGUCGUUGCCUUCAGAAAUACUUCUGUGUUCCUUCCAAAAUCUAAUAUGUUAAUUAACAAAUAGAAGAGCACCAUCUAAUAAAUAUGACUGACUGUUGACUGUAUGUGUCACCAAUAGAGUAAGAGAUGCUAAAAUCAUUCUUCAUACAUUCUAGUAAGCAGGUCCCCAAUUGCUCAGCAGUCAAUCUAAAAGCGACCCUUACACACUGAAGUUCCCUUCUUUAACCAGUUUUUUUCAACUUCCUUCCAACUAUGGAAACUUUGGGUGCUCUUAAGAUGCUGCUUGAGGGAGGAGAUGGCCAGUUCCUCUCUCUUUGUAAAGUCAAAGUUAGAAAUCACCAUUAUUUCAUGACGAAUAUGUGCCAGUGCUGAAGUUUUAGAAAUGGCUGGCAAAGCCCCUGCCUGUUAGAAGAAGUCUUGUGUCUGGUGACUUGGUGUCCUAGCUCUACACAUGCUAUAGUUCAGCGCCAUUAUUCAUUAUGUAGGAUUUUGUGGACUUAUUAGAAAUCUAACAGCCUUUCAUGAUAUUGCUUUAAAGAAGGAGUGCAACCAGAGUGACAGAUGAUACACCUCCAUUGAAAAUUUCAAAACUUAGUUCAUCCACAAAAUAAGAUUGAAUUUCACUUUUUUUAUUCUCUGGAGAGAAUCAGAAAAUAAUUUUUUUAGAGUUUCUGGACCCGUUUCUUACUUAGCCAAGAACACAUUUAUAUUUUCUAAAUUUUUUAUAAUGAAUAUAUCCUUUUUUAUAAAGAGAAAAAAUAACUUUAGAAGAAAGGAGAGGGAUUGCAAUGGCAUAAGCAUUAAUAAGUGACAUAAGGAUGCAUCAUGGUAGAGGCGAGGCAGGAAAUGUGCACAUUGCUGGAAAUCACCCACACAUGAUGCUGUCAGUCUUUGGUGGAGCCUCAGCCUGAAGAGAAAUGGAUAGAGCAGAAUUGAAACACAGGCUUUACACUGAUGUGAUCUCUUGAGACUCAGCUUUAACCUUUCCCUUUGGAAAAUAGGUCUAACUCUUGAAAGCAUAUUCUAGUCUCCAUUUGACAGUGCAGAAGAUGGUCAGAGAAGGUGUAUGCAAUCAGGCUUUGGAACAUUCAGAUUGUUGUGUUGAAACUAACCUGGGUCCCCAUUUUUUCUCCUCAUUUCUUUUCUGCCAUUAGGGCUGCUGAAGUACAGAGGCUGCCAUUUUAUACUAAGCUUCUCCUAUUUUCAUCAUUUGCUCUAGGUAGCCAGAGAGGAUUGAAAGUGAGUCACAUAAAAUCCUCUUCUGGAACCUGCUGAUUUAUAAAUUAAAAAGAGUGAAAAACAUCAGUAAUAGUUUUCUUUUUUUUUUUUUUUUUUUUUUUUUUUCUUUUUUUUUUUUUUUGCUAUUUCUUUGGGCUGCUCCCGCGGCAUAUGGAGGUUCCCAGGCUAGGGGUCUAAUCGGAGCUACAGUUGCCAGCCUAUGCCACAGCCACAGCAAUGCCAGAUCUGAACCGUGUCUGUGAUCUCCACCACGGCUCACGGCAACACCAGAUCCUCAAACCCAAGGAUUGAACCCGCAACCUUGUGGUUCCUAGUCAGAUUCAUUUCCGCUGAGCCACGACAGGAACUCCACGAAGUAAUUUCUUUUUAGCCCUUGAAUCCCACUGGCAGUGUGAUGUAGCCCUCACCAUUUUGGUUGGGAACUCAGGAGAGCAAGAGGUGGGGGUGGAGAUGUUAGAGGAAAGUGAACAAAGGUCAAAUAGGAGUGAAGUAAAUUUAGUCUAAUUCUAAGCUGGCACUGGAGGCCCUAAGAGAGUUUCUUUUGGGAGGACUAUCAAAAUGGGAUGAUUUUAAAUUAUGGACUAGAGAUGGUGAGGGAACCAGGCAAAGCAGGGUUAUGGUAGAAAGCCUGUCUCAAAAUAAGGGGAAGGUGUUCCCUUAGUGGCUCAGUGGUUAACAAAUCCAACAAUGAUCCAUGGGAUGUGGGUUCAAUCCCUGGCCUCGCUCACUGAAUUAAGUAUCUGGUAUUGCCAUGAGCUGUGGUGUAGACCAGCAGCUAGAGCUCUGAUUCCACCCCUAGCAUGGGAACCUCCAUAGACCGAUAGUGUGGCCCUAAGAAGAAAAAAAAAAAAAAA
rnacentral:lncRNA from 1 species